rnacentral:rRNA from 1 species
UACGUAGGGUGCGAGCGUUAAUCGGAAUUACUGGGCGUAAAGCGUGCGCAGGCGGUUUUGUAAGCCAGGUGUGAAAUCCCCGGGCUCAACCUGGGAAUGGCAUUUGGGACUGCAAGGCUGGAGUGCGGCAGAGGAGACUGGAAUUCCUGGUGUAGCAGUGGAAUGCGUAGAUAUCAGGAGGAAUACCGAUGGCGAAGGCAGGUCUCUGGGCUGACACUGACGCUCAUGCACGAAAGCGUGGGGAGCAAACAGG